GGAAAUACUCACCAGUAUACUACAACGACAUCAGACAACUAAUAGAACUUAAUUGCGCUCCUCGGACCGUUGGUUCGCGGAAGGAACCCGGACGGCAUGUCUGCGUUGAGCGGUUGCGAUGGUCUCGGGGCCCUUUGGAUCCAACGACCAGUACCUGCUCUCCAUCCGACGCACGAGUGUGUGCCACGCACGCGGGCCCCCUCUGGACGGCGUGGAUUGCCGGACGCUUGACAAGCAGCUCAAUGUGGUGCAUGGUUUUUGGGAGAAACGGGACAGUGUGGUGAGGAGCCUCUUUCUCCUCUUUCUCCUCUCUCCUCUCCUCUCCUCCUCCAUCGCAUUAGGGAUUGCGCUAUCCCUUCCGCCGGGGCGCUGGCGCCAUGAAUCGCAGGCGCGUGGCUCCAGAUUUUGGAUACAAUGCAGGGGUGCGCCGCGAAUCCCAUCCAGAUUUGGGCAAGGCAAUGCGGUGGAUGAUCUUCAAGGCGAUCGAUCUAGCUCCAUUGGGAGCGGCGGCGAGGAUUUGAAGCAUCUGGAUCGCGUAUUAUGCCAGCAUCGAGCUCCGGCGCCGCGAAAUAUCACUGUGGAUAGGCAGAGUAGCUCAGGAUAGGGAUUUCGGGCAUCCGGCAUCAUGCCUCCCAGUAGAAGAAGCUCAUCGGCGUCCCUCCUCCAGCAGCGCGGCAAGGGAGGCACAAAGCCUACCGCCAUCACAAACUGGAUUCCCUGCCAGGCUGCAGUAACAUUCACCACAAAUAAGAUGAAAAACAUGCUGGAACAGACGCUUACGAAAGAGUGAACACGCCACUCCCGGUGUUCAGGUUUGUGAUCUUAUUGUUAUCCAGCUGGACAUUAACAAGGGAUGAAAUCAAUUGCUGAACAGACAUUUUAAUACUUGAUAGAGAUUUCGUCAGUUGAAUAUAUGUUUAAAUGAUUUCUAUGUCCUCCUAAAGUGAAUUUCAUGGACUGUCGGCUCAGGAAACGUCUGCACAGCUCUUGGGCAUGACAAAAACUCCACCUCCGAGUGAGUUCCAAAGUCUUGGCCUCUUACAUGACCUUCGCAUAGAUAUCCUGCAGCAGUAGCUCAAGUAGCACAAAGCAGAGAAAACGAAAACGAACUUUUACCUCGUGCAAGCUGGCUUUGAUCGGUGUAGGAGCUAUGACCACACCUGGAGAUUCAUGUUGGCACAAACUAACCAAGAUAUGCAUGGUGCCAAACUCGAGCGUCUUUUGUGAGAGGAAGGGGAAUUCCACCCAGUACAUAUACCACAAGAUCUUGUGGGCAUCUCUCACGGGGUGGAGUGACGCUAGAAAUCUCGCUCUAUCUUUUCUCUUGCCAAUGCACACCAUCUUCCAGCCAUCAUGAGCAACACGGUCAUCAACAAGAUUGCAGCCAUUUGGAAAUGAAAACUGUUUGAUCGGUCCUGAAAACAGCUUUUGUUUUCUACACUCCUCUGUGGGUUAUGAAACAGGGGCAGGAGAAGAGGUAGUUAUCCUACAGAGAUCACAUCUCACAUUUUUAAUUCCAUGGUUCACCGUAUCUUAUUCCGUGCACGUAACCAGUAUGUCCCAUAAGUUGCACGUUUUCCAUUUGGUCCUACCAAAACGUCUACACAUCCUUGUUUACAAUGUGCAAGUUAACGACAGAUCACUUGCAAGCCUAAGACCACCCGAAAAGAAUAACAUUGCCUAACCCUUAGCAUGCUUAUCUACCUGGUUUGUUUACAGUCCA
rnacentral:lncRNA from 1 species